GUGGAUUAGUGGCGAACGGGUGAGUAACACGUUGGGCAAUCUGCCCUUCACUCUGGGACAAGCCCUGGAAACGGGGUCUAAUACCGGAUACGACCUGCCUCCGCAUGGGGGUGGGUGGAAAGCUCCGGCGGUGAAGGAUGAGCCCGCGGCCUAUCAGCUUGUUGGUGGGGUAAUGGCCUACCAAGGCGACGACGGGUAGCCGGCCUGAGAGGGCGACCGGCCACACUGGGACUGAGACACGGCCCAGACUCCUACGGGAGGCAGCAGUGGGGAAUAUUGCACAAUGGGCGAAAGCCUGAUGCAGCGACGCCGCGUGAGGGAUGACGGCCUUCGGGUUGUAAACCUCUUUCAGCAGGGAAGAAGCGAAAGUGACGGUACCUGCAGAAGAAGCGCCGGCUAACUACGUGCCAGCAGCCGCGGUAAUACGUAGGGCGCAAGCGUUGUCCGGAAUUAUUGGGCGUAAAGAGCUCGUAGGCGGCUUGUUGCGUCGGAUGUGAAAGCCCGGGGCUUAACCCCGGGUCUGCAUUCGAUACGGGCAGGCUAGAGUGUGGUAGGGGAGAUCGGAAUUCCUGGUGUAGCGGUGAAAUGCGCAGAUAUCAGGAGGAACACCGGUGGCGAAGGCGGAUCUCUGGGCCAUUACUGACGCUGAGGAGCGAAAGCGUGGGGAGCGAACAGGAUUAGAUACCCUGGUAGUCCACGCCGUAAACGUUGGGAACUAGGUGUUGGCGACAUUCCACGUCGUCGGUGCC
rnacentral:rRNA from 2 species